rnacentral:rRNA from 1 species
CCUACGGGGGGCUGCAGUGAGGAAUAUUGGACAAUGGGCGCAAGCCUGAUCCAGCCAUGCCGCGUGCAGGAUGACGGUCCUAUGGAUUGUAAACUGCUUUUGUACAGGAAGAAACACCUCUACGUGUAGAGACUUGACGGUACUGUAAGAAUAAGGAUCGGCUAACUCCGUGCCAGCAGCCGCGGUAAUACGGAGGAUCCAAGCGUUAUCCGGAAUCAUUGGGUUUAAAGGGUCCGUAGGCGGUCAGAUAAGUCAGUGGUGAAAGCCCAUCGCUCAACGGUGGAACGGCCAUUGAUACUGUCUGACUUGAAUUAUUAGGAAGUAACUAGAAUAUGUAGUGUAGCGGUGAAAUGCUUAGAGAUUACAUGGAAUACCAAUUGCGAAGGCAGGUUACUACUAAUGGAUUGACGCUGAUGGACGAAAGCGUGGGUAGCGAACAGGAUUAGAUACCCUAGUAGUC